UGUGUGUCAGUGGAACGGUCUGGAAAGGCCGGCGAUACAGGGUGACAGCCCCGUACACGAAGGCACACAGGCUGUGAGCUCGAUGAGUAGGGCGGGACACGUGAUAUCCUGUCUGAAGAUGGGGGGACCAUCCUCCAAGGCUAAAUACUCCUGACUGACCGAUAGUGAACCAGUACCGUGAGGGAAAGGCGAAAAGAACCCCGGCGAGGGGAGUGAAACAGAACCUGAAACCGUGUACGUACAAGCAGUGGGAGCCUUCGUAAGAGGGUGACUGCGUACCUUUUGUAUAAUGGGUCAGCGACUUAUAUUCUGUAGCAAGGUUAACCGUAUAGGGGAGCCGAAGGGAAACCGAGUCUUAACCGGGCGUUAAGUUGCAGGGUAUAGACCCGAAACCCGGUGAUCUAGCCAUGGGCAGGUUGAAGGUUGGGUAACACUAACUGGAGGACCGAACCGACUAAUGUUGAAAAAUUAGCGGAUGACCUGUGGCUGGGGGUGAAAGGCCAAUCAAACCGGGAGAUAGCUGGUUCUCCCCGAAAGCUAUUUAGGUAGCGCCUCGUGAAUUCAUCUCCGGGGGUAGAGCACUGUUUCGGCUAGGGGGCCAUCCCGG
rnacentral:rRNA from 1 species